UUAUUUUUUCAUGUUGUGAAAAUUUGGGUGAUGGCUUCAACCAUUAAUAUCUACUCAAAAGGACUAAUCAUUGUGAUCCUCAUCUAUUCUUUCACAUUACUUGCAUUUAUAUCAGGUACUAAUUGGAAAGUUCAUUCUUUAAGUAUAUCUGAAUUAUCACUUUUUUUUGUAAGUUUACUCUCUUGUAAGUUUCGUAUUUAUUUUAAUUUUCUAUCUGAACUAUCACUAUCUAUGUAUUAACGUGACAUCUAGGUAAUAGUUCAAAUAGAAAAAGUGAACAAUUGAUAAUUAGCCUAAUCAGCUUUGAGGUGUGUUUUAAUACAUAGAUAAUGACAGUUCAGAUAGAAAAGACACACGUAAUAUUUGGGAUGUAAAGCUCGCGAAAAAUGAUGUUUUUGACCAUCAGGACUAUUAAUUAAUAUUUAAUAGUUUGUUACUAUAUGUUGUUGCUUUCCACUUGAACUACUAUUUAUAAUGUUAAAUUUUUUUUAAAAAACUAUACUUUACAUAUAUACUAAAUGAAUCUUAGUGCAUCAACAUGAUAGUGGGUGUAUUGACUCUGCCUUUUGUUAUUUACUUAAAAUUCUAGAUUCGUCUUUGAAGUUUAAAAAUAAUUUAAUUUAUAAGAAGUUACAUUACGACUUUAUGUUUAUAUGGCUAAAUAAGAAGCAUAUGUUAAUCCUAACGCGUGAUGAUUUAUGCACGGGAACAUAAGAUCAAAUAUAAUAUGUUUUUUUUUUAAUUUCUCGUGAGCCACUUAUUUCUCCGAAAAAAGAAAAAGAGAGGUUGAAAUUGAAAUUGUUGUGUAUGUUAA